rnacentral:lncRNA from 1 species
UGGCCUAUAAGUGAGUCUAUGGGGGUAAUGUAUUGAUUAAUGUUUGAUGUUGGAGGACCCAGCCUAAUGUGAGCAUUGUCACCCCAGGGACCUGGAUUGUAUAAGAAAGCAAGCUGAACAAGCAAGGAGAAGCAAGCUACUAAGCAGCCUUCCUCUGUCACCUCUGCUUCACCUUCCUGCCUGUAGGUUCCUGCCUGGAAUUCUUGCCACAAUGUCCCAUCAUAGAAGACUAGAAGCUACAAGAUGAAAGAAAUCCUUUUUCCUCCAACUUGCCUUUGGACUGGAUAUUGAACCCAGGGCCUCAUCAAUGCUCAGCAAGUACCUCAUCACUGGCCUGUAUCCCCAGCCACCAGCUUCUAUUUUUAUUUCAAGGUCUAUGGUUCACUUGGAUGUCCAGUACAGAAGAUAAAGCCAACGAGAAGCUAUGGAUGUUGAGAAUGGUGAAAGGGUGAGUGUGAGAGAUAGGGGCAGUGGGCUGGGAGACAACAUAGGGAGCUGCCCUGGUGUAGGGGCAGAAGCGAAUGUCAGUUAGCCAGGUCUCAUGCUGAUGGAAGUGGACAGUAUAACAUGCAGCUGGGGUGAAAGGGGAACUGGACAGGGGAAGUAGAUAGGGCCAUAUUACAAACCUUUGUUGUUUACGUUCAAAGUAGCAAGCAGCUACCCAGGGAGUUUAAACAAAAGGCGGUGGCUAGCAGCCCUCACCAGAUGUGUCAUAUGGCUAAGGAAAUUGGGAAAACACAAAUGCCUCAAUACCCAGAAGUUAAAGUGUAGCCUAGA